rnacentral:rRNA from 1 species
GAUCAUGGCUCAGGAUGAACGCUGGCGGCGUGCUUAACACAUGCAAGUCGAACGGACGGAUUGGAGCUUGCUCCAUGAAGUUAGUGGCGGACGGGUGAGUAACGCGUGGGUAACCUGCCCUAUGCAGGGGGAUAACGUUUGGAAACGAACGCUAAUACCGCAUAAACUAUGGAUGUCUGCAUGGACAUUAUAGCAAAGAUUUUAUCGGCAUAGGAUGGACCCGCGUCAGAUUAG